rnacentral:lncRNA from 1 species
UGCAAAACAGAGGAGCCCCUGGGUGGGAGGGGAUAUAACUGGAACUCUGGGAAUGUAACGGGCAUGGUGUGCUUGUCUGAUGGACAGGGCAGCUUAGGGGAAUAAGUCUCUGCAGCGUUGUAGUGAAGAGAGAAUACGGGACAACUGCAGGACCACAGCUCAGCCAAGAGCUCCCUUGCAGCUGAGUUGGCCAUAUGACUGACAGCAAGCCCUGGAAUGCAGCCAGAAGUGAUAGAAGCCUCUUUCACACCAUGCUCCUAAAAUAUUCCAAGAAAUUUUCCAAACCUACUCUUUUUAGUCUGUGCAUCUGGAAGUGAAAGUUUUAGAAAGGGUAAAGUCACUUAAUGGAAAGGGCCCAGAUCUAGCCCCUCGGAGCCAAGCUGUCCAACUAGAAAUUCUGCAUUAGUAUUUGCGACCCCAGUAAAAAAAAAAAAGUCCCACAAAGAUGUAGGAUCUCACUUUGCCUGCGUUAAUUCCCUGUCCUUUGCCCAGUUUCUCCUCUCUUGGAAGGCAGAGGCAGCUUCUGAUUUUGAUCACUUCAUGUCCAGAAAAGCAAAACAGGAGAGGGGCCAAGAUGGCUGAAUAGAAACAGCCCUGAUCUGCAGCUCCCAGGGAGACCAACGCAGAAGGCCUCUUCUGGAACUGAUUGCAAGGAGUGAAAUGGACUAAUUUUAGAAUAAGCAACUCUACUAUGGAACAUCUGAAAAAAAAAGAGCACUUUUUAAAUUACAGCAAAAUAUUUUUUGAUAUAAAUUUGUGUCUGGCUUCCGCAGAAAACAGUAGACACAUAUAAGGUUUUGCUCCAAGAACAGACUGGACAAAUGAAAUGACAUAUAUAUCCACAAGGGACAUGUUUUUAAGGCAGUUGUCAGAGGAGAAAGAGGAGAAGCAUGUGGAAGGAGGGCUUCCUGAUGACUAAAUUAUAUGUAUGUUUCUGUAUGUCUCAUUUCAUGGGAACUACCUCUACUUUCAAAUGAUCAUUUCUUCCCAACAUUUCAAUCUAUAUAUCACUUCUCUUUGUAAUGAAAAGCAUGUUACUUUUCUAACUUUUAGCCUAAAUACUAAGAAAUAAAAAUUUAUUUAAUGAUCCAUUAGACCCACUUAUUUCUGUAUAGUGGCACCAAAGAGAUAUUUUAUAGAACACAUAGUUCUGUUUCUUAUGCCAUUAAACACAGGAGGUUAUUAUUAAGAACAGUAAUACUGAAAAAGUUUGUUGAGUGCAUACUAUAUGCCAGACAAAUG